rnacentral:lncRNA from 1 species
CUGAUAUUCACCCAAACUUGGGAGAUACAAUGUCACGUGUUCAACUAAAUUGGAAAAACUACACCUAUCUAAUGCAAUAUGAUUUGGAAGAAAGAAAAGCUGAAGAGAGGAACAAUUUGCAAUCUGGAGCACAUACUGUGCAGUUUGUCACAGUCAUAAUUCCCAUGUGGUAGGAACUAGGAAAUGCAUAUAAUUAGUUCGUGGGAGAAAAUUAUAUUCCCAAGCAAAAUCUGUGUUCUGAAACAGUUCCAAAAUUAGAAGAAAGCCCUUCUCUUCUUUUCAAGAAGGAAGCCUAACUAAAAGAGUGAAAUCAGGCCAUGCUGACAUAGCAUAGAACAUUUCAUACAUUAAUGCUCCUAAUUUAUCCUCCAAAUAACAGAAGAAGUUGAUAAAAUCAUAAUUAAGGCAUAUGAAGAACAAAGUUGGGUACCAUGAAGUACAUGUGCUUCGUCCUAACGUAACACACUUUAACUUUGACAGUUUUACAUCUGCAGCAAAUGAGUAAAACAAUACAACAAUUAACCUGUUUCGAAGUUGUGCUGUUUUUAGUUCAGCAAUAGUGUUGAACAUUGUUAUAAGUUAUAGAAAGUAAAUAUGUUAAUAUAGGAAGUAAAUAUGGAUAGAUGGGUUAGUUGCUUAAUCUUAGGGAUUGUAUAAUCAUAGAUUUGAUUUUCUUUCCUAUUUAGAUACCCUCUCUCAUGUAUAAAUAGAUUGUAAUCUCUAUUGUGAAAUAUAACAAAUAUUAUCCUUCUACAUGGUAUCAGAGCCUUUCUCGUAGAGAUUUAAUUUUUCUCUCCCGUCAAAGUUUUUUUUAAGAAAAAAAAAAAAAAAAAUUUUGGAGACUUAGGGCUCUGUUUAUUUGGGUUACCCAUAACGGGUAAUAUUUGGAUCUCACCAUCGCUAGAGUCGCCACAUCGUUCCCUUGUCAGAUCUGAGGUUUAUUUGCCAUUCGGGUUUUGGGGGAGGUGUUUUUAUCGGUACUGUUCAUCGGACUGUUCACGGGUACUGUUCACGAGUACUGUUCAUCGACACUGUUCACGUGGUACUGUUCACGUGGUACUGUUCAUCGGUACUGUUCACGUGGUGCUGUUCACGCCGGGUACUGUUUUCUGAUUCUGUGUUUCUUUUGUUGCUGUCGUUUUGGGUUUGUUGUCAUGGUUGAAGUGAAAACCACCACCGUAACUGAUGUGAUUCCUAUGAUGACUAAAAUCACGGAACACAAAUUGAAUGGAUCUUCCAAUCAAGGAAUUUUGAUAUCUGCAGAUGAGUAUGCACAAUUCGUCCAAUACCAGGCAUCUCUAAAAUCCUCUAAUUCCUCCUCUAUCACUGCAAUUGCCGAGUCAGGUAACUCUACUACAUGUCUUGUGUCUUCAUCCUCAAAAUGGGUUAUUGAUUCUGGUGCUACCGAUCAUAUGUCAGGUAAUUCUACCCUUUUGUCCAAUCUUGAGUCUCGUACAUCGCCUUCUUAUGUUACUCUUGCUGAUGGCACUAAAUCUUCUGUCAUUGGUUCUGGUCAUGUCAACUUAACCCCUUCUCUUUCUGUAUCCUCUGUGUUAUGUCUCCCUAAGUUCGCAUUUAAUUUGCUUUCCGUUAGUAAACUCACUCGUGCAUUGAAUUGUUGUGUCUCAUUCUUUCCUGAUCACUGUGUUUUUCAGGAUCUUUCGACGAAGCAGAUUAUUGGUAGAGGGAGUGAGUCAGAGGGUCUUUACGUCUUGGAUCAGCAACUACCUCGAUCUCCUCGAUCUCUGGUAUGCUCCACGCAUUUAACACCUUUUGAUGUUCAUUGUCGUUUGGGGCAUCCUUCUCUCUCAGUUUUAAAGAAGUUAUAUGCACAGUUUCAUUCUUUGUCUACUCUAGAUUGUGAGUCUUGUCAAUUUGCCAAACAUCAUCGUUUACCUACACUGCCUCGAGUCAAUAAACGGGCUUCGUCCCCCUUUGAGUUAGUACAUUCAGAUGUUUGGGGUCCUUGUCCUGUUGUGUCUAAGUCUGACUUUAAGUAUUUUGUUACUUUUGUUGAUGAUUUCUCUCGUACUACUUGGUUAUUUUUAAUGAAGAGUCGUUCAGAAUUAUUUUCUGUUUUUUGUGCAUUUUAUGCUGAAAUCCAAACCCAAUUCAAUACUUCCAUCCGUAUAUUGCAAAGUGAUAAUGCUAAAGAGUAUCUCUCUGGGGAAUUUCAAUCUUAUUUGUUACAAAAAGGGAUUCUUCAUCAGUCAUCUUGUGUUGCCACUCCUUCACAAAAUGGAGUUGCUGAAAGAAAAAAUCGACAUCUUCUUGAAGUAGCCAGAGCUCUCUUAUUCCAAAUGAAGGUACCUAAAUGUUUUUGGGUUGAUGCUGUAUCCACUGCUUGUUUUUUGAUCAAUCGCAUGCCUUCCUCCAUCCUUCAUGGUGAUAUCCCUUAUAACAUUUUGUUUCCCACUAAAUCUUUGUUUCCUAUUGAGCCACGUAUGUUUGGUUGUACAUGUUUUGUUCGUGAUGUUCGUCCACAGGUUACUAAAUUGGAUCCUAAAUCACUCAAAUGUGUCUUCCUUGGCUACUCUCGACGUCAGAAAGGGUAUCGUUGUUUUUCUCCUGAUCUGAAUCGGUAUCUUGUGUCUGCGGAUGUAACAUUCUUUGAGUCCACUCCAUUUUUUCCGCCAUCAUCUGUUUAUAACACCGAGGGGGAGGAAGAUGACCUCUUGUUAUACACUGUUCGCUCUUUGUCUCCUCAAACUACUCCUACACCUUUCGCUCAUGUGCCAGGUCGCCCUCCCAUCUUUCAUGUGUAUUCCAGACGCUUAGAGGACUCUGACUCCGUUCCGCUACCUGCUUCUUCGUCGACAGAUCCUGCUCCCACUGAUCCUUCACCGUCUGAUUUGGAUUUGCCCAUUGCUCUUCGCAAAGGUAAACGUACUUGCACUUAUCCUAUUUCAUCUUGUGUCUCUUAUGAUCAAUUAUCCUCCUCUUCUCGUUGUUUUGUCACUGCUUUAGAUUCUAUUUCAAUUCCCAAAACUGUUAUUGAGGCUUUGUCCCAUCCUGGUUGGCGUGCUGCAAUGGAAGAGGAAAUGAUGGCCCUUGACACUAAUGGUACUUGGGAGUUGAUGUCCUUGCCCCCAGGAAAGCGGGCUAUUGGGUGCAAAUGGGUGUUUGCAGUAAAAGUAAACCCUGAUGGAUCUAUUGCUCGCCUCAAGGCCCGUUUAGUGGCCAAAGGUUAUGCACAAACUUAUGGAGUUGACUAUUCUGAUACAUUCUCUCCAGUUGCCAAGCUCGCAUCUGUCCGAUUGUUUAUUUCCUUGGCGGCUACUCAUGAUUGGCCCUUGCAUCAACUGGAUAUUAAAAAUGAUUUUCUUCAUGGUGAUCUUCAGGAGGAGGUUUAUAUUGAGCAACCACCUGGUUUUGUUGCUCAGGGGGAGUCAGGUAAGGUUUGUAGACUUCGAAAAUCCCUUUAUGGCUUGAAACAGAGUCCUCGAGCAUGGUUUGGCAGGUUUAGUGAGGUGGUCCAACAGUUUGGAAUGAAGAUGAGUAAGUGUGAUCACUCAGUGUUUUAUAGAAAUUCUGAUAGUGGAGUAAUUCUGCUUGUAGUAUAUGUGGAUGAUAUCGUUAUUACAGGAAGUGACAUUGCUGGCAUCACAUCCCUAAAAGAAUUUCUUAAAACACAGUUUCAUACAAAGGAUUUGGGUUCCUUGAAAUAUUUCUUGGGAAUUGAAGUUAUGCGGUGUAAGAAAGGCAUCUUCUUAUCUCAAAGAAAAUAUUUUCUUGAUUUGUUGGCAGAAACAGGAAAAUUGGGUGCUAAGCCUUGUAGUACCCCAAUGACCCCUAACCUUCAACUUACCACAGAAGACAGUGAGCCAUUUGCAGAUCCUGGAAGGUACAGAAGAUUAGUUGGUAAGCUGAAUUAUUUGACUGUGACUCGUCCUGAUAUUGCAUAUUCAGUGAGUGUGGUAAGUCAGUUUAUGUCCUCUCCUACUGUUGCCCAGUGGGAUGCUCUGGGACAGAUUCUUUGUUACCUUAAAGGGGCCCCAGGACGAGGCCUAUUCUAUGGUAACCAUGGGCACUCAAAUAUUGAAUGCUUUUCUGAUGCUGAUUGGGCAGGCUCGAAAGUUGAUAGGAGGUCAACUACUGGGUAUUGUGUUUUUGUGGGAGGUAAUUUGGUCUCAUGGAAAAGUAAAAAGCAAAAUGUGGUCUCCCAUUCUAGUGCUGAAUCUGAAUAUCGAGCCAUGGCACAAGCCGUUUGUGAAAUCUUGUGGGUACGUCAACUGUUGGAAGAAGUUGGGUUUUCAAAUUCGGUGCCUGCUAAGUUGUGGUGUGAUAAUCAAGCAGCUAUCCACAUUGCCUCCAAUCCAGUAUUUCACGAGAGGACCAAACACAUCGAGAUUGAUUGUCAUUUUGUUCGUGAAAAGGUUCAACAAAAGAUAAUAUCAACAGAACAUAUCCGAACUGGAGAACAAUUAGGAGAUAUUUUUACUAAAGCUCUAAAUGGAACUCGAGUCGAUUAUAUAUGUAACAAGUUGGGCAUGAUUAACAUUUAUGAUCCAACUUGAGGGGGAGUGUUAUAAGUUAUAGAAAGUAAAUAUGUUAAUAUAGGAAGUAAAUAUUGAUAGAUGGGUUAGUUGCUUAAUCUUAGGGAUUGUAUAAUCAUAGACUUGAUUUUCCUUCCUAUUUAGAUACCCUCUCUCAUGUAUAAAUAGAUUGUAAUCCCUAUUGUGAAAUAUAACAAAUAUUAUCCUUCUACAAACAUCACCCUUUCAAAGCAGGGUGAUAGAGACUUUAAAAUGUAUCUGGAAUAUCAUUGCAUGUGUCAUUAUGAGUCAAUAGAUUACAGUUAUAUAUAGGCUCUGAAUAUAUUUGAUGCCAUUAGCUGAAAAUAACAAACUAUUUAGAAUAAGUCAAUAGAGCAUUAGACUGCAGAAUACACUUUAAAACAAGCAGCUUCAAAGGCACAAGCAAACGGCAUUAACAAUUUUCAGUAUAUAUUUAAUUGCUAUCUCUAGUGAAUAUCUAAUAAACUAUUUACUCAUCAAAUGAACCUGCAAAAGUUAGACAAUACUAAAGCAAAAUACAAAAUCAGAGAACGGUAAGACUCACUAGAUGUGAGGAAACUUAC